UACGUAGGGGGCGAGCGUUGUCCGGAUUUAUUGGGCGUAAAGAGCUCGUAGGCGGCUUGGCAAGUCGGGUGUGAAACCUCCAGGCUCAACCUGGAGACGCCACUCGAUACUGCUAUGGCUAGAGUCCGGUAGGGGACCACGGAAUUCCUGGUGUAGCGGUGAGAUGCGCAGAUAUCAGGAGGAACACCGGUGGCGAAGGCGGUGGUCUGGGCCGGCACUGACGCUGAGGAGCGAAAGCGUGGGUAGCAAACAGG
rnacentral:rRNA from 1 species